GCAGGUUCCUGGAGCCUGAAGUGGGACUCAAUCCUGGGACCCUGAGCCGAAGGCAGAUGCUUAACUGACUGAGCCACUCAGGCAUCCCUGGAUAUGUGUUUUAAAUGGGAUGCAAAAUUUAAGGUUUUCUGUUUAAAACAUGAGGGAGAGCAGUAAAUGACCAACUGAAUGAAAAUGAAAACUUAAGAGUUGCUGCCCCAGUAGAGUAAAUGCCUUUGGAAGUUGGAUACUCUCAAGGAAGAUUCUGUCACCUGCAGUGGAGCACAACACCUGCAAGAAAGGGUUAGGCCUUGCCAGAUACUUCUCAGAACACAGGAACGAGGAUUCUCUGAUAGCAUUCUGUGUCAUCCAAUUGGCUACAUAGGACCAAUGGGCUACAGGCAACACGUCUACCAUGUCGGCAGCAAAAGGAGAGAUGAAGAUUUGAAGACAUAAAUUAAUUCAAGGAGGUGUCAAGUUGAAGUUUGGGAUAGAUUUAGAACUCAAGAUUCAGGAAGUCUCCUUUGCAUGUUGGAUAGUCUUGAGAACACGAAUCGCUUUGAAUCUGAUGAGGAAGACUACCCAUCUUCCAGAGAGUACAGAUAUUGAGUUGGAUUCAGUGAUGAGACUUUGGAUUUUUUUUUUCCCUUGAGGGUAGAAUUCAUAUGUUCUAUAUGUGAAGAGAGCAACGGGCUAUCUGGUAACCACAAAACCAGACUGACAAGUAUUGCUGGGAUUCACCACCAUUGAUGUUCUUGCAUUUUCCUGGACUCACAGCUAGAUCACAUUUCCCCACGUAUUUCAUUCUAAAUGGGGCAUAUAACUAGCUCUUGCCAUUGGAAUGUGAUAUGUCUCAUUGUCAGGACAAUGUAAUUGCAAGUAAGUAUGCUUGCUUCCAACUCUUUCUAGUUUUUUUCUUCUUCCUUAUCUGCUGUCUAGAUGUGACAGCCAUUAAAGAGUGCUAGAAGACCUAGAAUAUGACAGAAGAGAAGAACCAGGUGCCUCAAUUGUUCCAGAGAAGAAUGCUGGUUACACAUAUCAAGCUGUAAGCUGUGAUGUAUGCAAGAAAUACACUUGUAUUUGUGUUAAACCUGAGGUUUGGUGUAGUUUGUUUGCUUGUUUAUUUUACUGAUGAUCUAGAAACUCAAAGGAAAUGGAAAGAAGAGAUCUAGGUAAAUAUACGUAGACAUGAUAAACUUAAGAGAAUAAGUGCAUGAAAUAGAAAAAAAAAGCAAUAAAAAGGGAUAUAUCACCUAAGUCACAUUUGUUUCCUUGAAAAGACUGAUAAGAUAGAGUCCAUUUGGCAUUACAGAUUAUUAAAGAAAGGGAG